CAGAGCAGACAAGCUAUUACGGUCAUCACUAAAGAUCUGUACGCCAUUUAGAAAGUCUAUAUAUUCUAUUCAUUAUAAAUGUUGUGAAAGGAUGUGGUUAACGUACUGAUUGUCUACUCUUUGUAGUCAGCUGCUAACAUUUGGAUUUUGGUAAUCCCGUCCCCAGCCAGCUCUGCAGUAGCAAACAACUGAGCCUGGGGAUGAGAGGGAUGGAGGAGGGCUGGACAGGGAGGCUGGAGCCGGAGGGAGGAUGACUGGCUCCUGUGGUUUAAGGUCAUCUGGAUCACUGAAGAGGAAAGAAGUACAUCGUUCUAUGAACCAGCAGCUCAUGAGCUCUCCAUUAAAUGACUGACAGCUGCUGUGCUCGUGACACGGAGGUUAUUGUUGUUCUCUUUGGACAACCAUUGUUUUGAGAAGCGGACGUGUAGGAAACAGAAGCAUCCUGCAGAACCACUUCCUGCUCAGAAAUAUGUAGCCCAAAAAACACCUAUAAGUCAUGCCAAACUCAAAACAACAUCACUCUUUUACAACUACUUGCUUUAAUUCUGAUAGUGUAUAAAAUGUACAAAUCAACCUACUUGAACUGUUAAACACAGUUGUCUUUUAAGCAACGUAUAAGGAACAUUAGUGACUGUGGUAACUGUACAACACACAGUAAACAGAAGGAUGUGGAAAGUUAGAGUUUGAACCACAGAUGAUAUCAAGCUCUCAACGACAAUCAUACAACCAGAUAGAUACACAGACAGACUUCAAAGUAAUAAAAGAAGCUGGUCCCUGCAUUAUCUGACACACGAAAGUGUCCAAUGAAAGACAUCAAUGGUGUGAGAUCAUUGCAACAUGUGGGUUACUGUACAGGUACACGUAGCCUUCACGGUAAAAAAAGCACUGUAGUAUGACUGUUAGGAAGGCUACCCCUCAAAUGUUUUCGUGCCAGCAGUCAGCACCUUUGAACGUGUGUCAUGCUUGGUUUGGUACAAGAUCAAAUUGACAACCCC